rnacentral:misc_RNA from 1 species
UAAUAAGUGUUUUAUGGCACUUUUUAAAUCCAUAUCCACCUUGUGUGCAAUGUCAGUCGAUCUUCUUCAUGGAGAUCGACCAAACAUCAACCUUUAUCUUUUAACUCUUUGUCUGAAAAAUAUUAUGAAUAAAACAAUUCAAAUA